CGGGUCAGUCAGGUGAUCGCGGCGGCGGGCAGUCGCAAGGCUGCGGCGCUGCUGAGGAAAGUCCGCUCUCCACAGGGCACGGUGCUGGCUAACGGCCAGGCGGGGCAACCCGACGGCCAGUGCAACAGAGAAGCAGAUUGCGGCCUGCGGGUCGCGAGGGUGAAACGGCGGUGUAAGAGACCACCAGCGCCCGCAGCGAUGCGGGCGGCUGGCAAACCCCACCGGGAGCAAGGCAAAGCAGGCGCAAUGGGGCGGCCCGUCCCGCGCCGGGUAUGCUGCUGGACGCCGGGAGUAAUUCCGGCGCUAGAGAGAUGAUCACCGCCCGCUGCGGCGGGUACAGAAAGCGGCUUAUCGAUUGACCCGGACG
rnacentral:RNase_P_RNA from 1 species